rnacentral:ribozyme from 1 species
AAAAAUAAUGACCAGAAACCAAACAAGAAAGACAAGAAAAAGAAAAAGUAAAUGAAGAUGAGGUCACUCGAUUUUCAAUCAUUAUUAUUGCUAUUACCUCCAAUAUUUAUUAAAUUAU